CCGACCUCAAGGCCUGCCUUGGCCUCUGAAAGUGCUGGGAUUACAGGUGUGAGCCACCGUACCCAGCCCAUAACCCCAGCUUCUGAUAGUCCCAACAUUGCUACAGCGUCUAAGAAGCACGACAGAUAUUUUCAAUCAACCAAUCAAGAAGUACUUAUGGAGCAUGAGCAGCUGCUGUCAGGAUCCAGCCAGAAGUAGUUGAGGCAUUGGACAGAAAGAACUGUAAGCUAGUUGGUUAUUAAACUCUUCUCCCUUGCUGGUUUAUAAGGAUAUCUCUGAUUUUCCUUACCAAGGUAGGUCUCUAUUUUAAAAAUCUUUUUGCGUGGAACAAAAGAUGAAGCUCCCAUAGCAUAGUCCUGAAAGGGAAACAGACCUACCAAAAUCUAUUACUAUGCUUUAUGGUUUGUGUCCAUAUUUUGUUUUCCUCUUUCCUACUCUCCUUGGCAUGUAUAUUACUACAUUUAUUCAGGUGAGUGUAAACCAAGUAACUAGAGCAAGACUCCCUUUAGCCAAAGGGGGUAGGAAGCCCAGCUCCUAUAAUAAAUGUUUUUAAUCAUCCAACAUUAAGAAUUUGAAAGGAUUUUAUAAUGUGUCCAACUCCUCAAUUUACAGAUGAGAAACAGAGGCCCAAAGGGUUAGUAAUCUGACCACGGCACUGAAGAUGAAAUGUUAAAUGCCUGUGAUGUCAGCACCUAUUUAUCAAACACAUCAGAAGUUAUAGUUGAAAUUCAUUUUGGGUUAU